AUAUAACACUCCUAAGCUGAUAACUGGUAUCGCAGAACAAAAGAAAUAAAGAACAAAGAAGCAAUUGCCCCACACCACACCACACAAUUCAAAUUCAAAUUUCUUUUGAAGGUCUAAUCGGGUCUGUGUCCACAGACUGAAGUCGAGGGCCCCUCCUUAGCCAUAUAAACAGACGAUUAUUGUAUAUACACAGAUUAGCACACAACUGAAUACCGAAUUAAUCCAUAAAGCAAACUGCUGUCUAAUCGUAUUCCAGUUAACAACUGCACAACAAAACAAUACACAACCGCAGCUGAACGGCUACAAAAAUGUCAUAAAAUUUGAAAUGCACUUGAUUCCCGUCUCCUUCCGUCCCCUGCUACAAAAGAUGACGGAGCGAUUGUUUGCAUUCGGCGUUUAGCUGGGGAAUGAAUACUCUUAAUACAGGAAAAAAGGAGAGGAAAAGGUCGAAGUUUGGAGUACACUUUAAUCUGUUUAUUGUCGAUUUAACAAUAAAAGACACAUCAAUCUUGAGA